rnacentral:tRNA from 1 species
UGGGGUUGUAGCUCAGUGGUAUAGCUCUUGCUUAGCACACAUGAGGCACUGGGUUGGAUACUCAGCAUUAA